rnacentral:rRNA from 1 species
AACGAACGCUGGCGGCGUGCUUAAUACAUGCAAGUCGUGCGAGAACGGGUCCUUCGGGACCGUUAGUAAAGCGGCGAACGGGUGCGUAACACGUGGGCAACCUGCCUAUCAGUUUGGGAUAAGCUCUCGAAAGGGGGGUCGUAAUACCGAAUGAUACCCAGAAGAGACAUCUCUUUUGGUUCAAAGACGGUGAAAGCCGUCACUGAUAGAUGGGCCCGCCGCCCCACUUAGCUAGUUGGUAGGGUAACGGCCUACCAAGGCUCCGAUGGGUAGCCGACCUGAGAGGGUGACCGGCCACACUGGGACUGAGAUACGGCCCAGACUCCUACGGGAGGCAGC